GAUAGUGGCGGACGGGUGAGUAACGCGUGAGAAUCUGCCUCUAGGAUGGGGAUAACGGUUGGAAACAACCGCUAACACCCAAUGUGCCGCAAGGUGAAAAAUUUAUUGCCUGGAGAGGAGCUCGCGUCUGAUUAGCUAGUUGGUAAGGUAAGAGCUUACCAAGGCAUCGAUCAGUAGCUGGUCUGAGAGGAUGAGCAGCCACACUGGGACUGAGACACGGCCCAGACUCCUACGGGAGGCAGCAGUGGGGAAUUUUCCGCAAUGGGCGAAAGCCUGACGGAGCAAUACCGUGUGAGGGAGGAAUGCCUUUGGGUUGUAAACCUCUUUUCUCAGGGAAGAAGAUCUGACGGUACCUGAAGAAUAAGCAUCGGCUAACUCCGUGCCAGCAGCCGCGGUAAUACGGAGGAUGCAAGCGUUAUCCGGAAUUAUUGGGCGUAAAGCGUCCGCAGGUGGUUUUCAAAGUCCGCUGUUAAAGACUGGAGCUCAACUCCGGAAAGGCGGUGGAAACUUGAGAACUAGAGUUUGGUAGGGGUAGCAGGAAUUCCCAGUGUAGCGGUGAAAUGCGUAGAUAUUGGGAAGAACAUCGGUGGCGAAGGCGUGCUACUGGACCAUAACUGACACUCAGGGACGAAAGCUAGGGGAGCGAAAGGGAUUAGAUACCCCUGUAGUCCUAGCUGUAAACGAUGGAAACUAGGUGUGGCUUGUAUCGACCCGAGCCGUGCCGUAGCCAACGCGUUAAGUUUCCCGCCUGGGGAGUACGCACGCAAGUGUGAAACUCAAAGGAAUUGACGGGGGCCCGCACAAGCGGUGGAGUAUGUGGUUUAAUUCGAUGCAACGCGAAGACCCUUACCAGGGCUUGACAUGUCGCGAAUCUUGAUGAAAGUUGAGAGU
rnacentral:rRNA from 1 species